rnacentral:rRNA from 1 species
UACGUAGGGGGCAAGCGUUGUCCGGAAUCAUUGGGCGUAAAGCGCGUGUAGGCGGCCCGGUAAGUCCGCUGUGAAAGUCGGGGGCUCAACCCUCGAAUGCCGGUGGAUACUGUCGGGCUAGAGUGCGGGAGAGGCGAGUGGAAUUCCUGGUGUAGCGGUGAAAUGCGCAGAUAUCAGGAGGAACACCAAUUGCGAAGGCAGCUCGCUGGAACGUAACUGACGCUGGAGACGCGAAAGCGUGGGGAGCAAACAGG